GCAAUCCCUAGCUCAAUCCCUAAUUCAUUUUCUGAAUCCCCAAUGCCCUUCGCUACGUGCUUCUCCUCCUCUCUCCCAACCGUGACAGUUCCAAGGCUCACCAUUUUAGAAAAUAAGAAUGAUAUUUUGGUACUCAUUCUCAGCUCUAGUAUUUGCCCACAUUCAACAGAUUGAAUUGAACUCGGGGAAUCUGUCGGUUAUCAUUCUGGUUCUUGGGUUCCAGGAGCUUUUGGCAACUUAUAUUUUGAAAAUCCCAGGCGAAUGCAAUACCAAUCUCCAGAAGAAUAUGAUGAUGCACUAAGGGGAAGAAAGAAUGGUGGUGUGUCAGCCAUCAUUGAUGUAGUACCAUACCUUAAAGUAAUCAUUUCCAAGUACGCUGCUGAUUUCACCAUGAUUAACUCCAAGAGGACCAAGACUAUCUCAGGCGGUUUUGGCUUUGUUCUCCCUAAAGGUUCACUACUUGUCCAAGACAUGUCGAGUGCAAUCAUGAAGCUAAGAGAGGAAGAAAAGCUGCAAAUGAUGGAAAAUAAAGGUUUAACAAUGCUGAAUCAAUCUUCACAAACCAGGA